rnacentral:tRNA from 1 species
GGGCGAUUAGCUCAAUUGGCAGAGCGUUUGGUUUACAUCCAAAAGGUUGGGGGUUCGAGACCCUCAUCGCCCACCA